AGCUUUGUUCCUGACAGGCCCCGUCUUACCUCGCUCUCUCCACAGGCUCCUGACGCCUCCCAGAGGAGCCGCGGAGGAGGAGAGGAAUUCCAGCGGAUUCAAAGACUUCUCCGGGUUUCUUUUGACUCCUCCAUCUGCCUUGCCUUCCCCUGCUCUUCAUGUUGACCUGUUCCUCGUGAUCCCCUGCCAAACCAUCUUCCCGGGCCUCAGGGACUGGGCCUGUAUGUGCAUAGGCAUACGCAUUACAUGGGUGCACAGAGGUGCCACAUUGUCUUUUUAAGCAGUCUUUGAAGAGCCGCAGAGGAGCCUGGGGAUGGAUAGAUGGAGGGAUGGAUGUGGGGGUUGAGCCGAGCCUGGACGGCAGACAGCACCUGAGAGCCCACCUCAAACCCGGGGUGUUGCAGUGUCAAGAUCCAGUGCCGGUUCCUGCUUCACCUGCCUCCGGCUCAUUCUCCUUCUCCUCCAGGCAGUGCCAAUGUGUGUCCAGGCCAGGAUCCAAGACCACUGAGGACAUCAGGGAGGUGUGAUGGGAUUCACAGCCGGGACAGCAGGAACAUGGUAAGUGGAUUACCAGGAGAAGAAGAAGGAGCAGUCUACAGUACAUUGCUGUCUCCUUUAGACCAUGGAGUUCUGAUUGGGAGACAAACUGAAAAACAAUCCAAACAACCCCCACUCUAAAUAAAAGAUUGCAGCAAACAAGCAUGAUGCCUGGCUGACUAAAGUUAAAUAAAAUGACAAUGAUUUCCAGAUUAAGUAAAUAUUACAGUUAGAUCUAGUUUUCCCUGGGUUACCACUAAGCAGAACGUGAGUUUUUUUGUUUUGGAAAUGGUUACUAUGGGUUUCCAGGGGCCACAAACACAAAGACGUACUUUGAAAGUCAUUCACAGCAGAACUGAUAUAAAAGUUGUCAGAAUUAA